rnacentral:rRNA from 1 species
AUGGCGGUUUUUGAAGCAUUCUACCGGCUGGCUGGCGGCGAUUUUGCAGCUCUCAGCAGAGCGAUCAUCGUGCGGCUGCCAAAACAGUCCGGCGCAACAAAACUUGCUGAUUUUCACCCGAUAAGCCUCAUUCACUUGGUGGCCAAACUGAUCGCGAAGGUGCUUUCCAUCAGACUUGUUGGCGUCCUCGAUCAGCUGGUCUCCCCCGCCCAGAGCGCUUUUCAAAAGAAGAAAGGGAUACAUGACAGCUUCCUCUACGUGCAAAACACAAUCCGAAUGCUCCAGAGGAAGAAAGCGCCGGCGCUGCUGCUGAAGAUCGACAUCGCAAAAGCCUUCGAUUCGGUUUCCUGGGAGUAUCUGUUGGAACUGUUGCAGUGCUUAAAUUUC